rnacentral:lncRNA from 1 species
UGCUAAAGAUUUCUGUGGAGAGGAACAAUUAUGAGUUUAUAGCCAAUUUUUUUAAUGUUCUACUUAGGCAGGGCUAAGAAAAAGAAAAAAAAAAGAAAAGAGAAAAGAAGGUGUGUUGUCUCUGUUACAUAAAAUUCUCACUACCAUUUUGAUGGAGGCCCUUUUUCCUCCUAGGUAAGGAAAAGGCCCUUUUUCCACCAGGUGUUAAAGAUUACUUACUCACAGCUGUUAAUUUCAGGCAACUUUUCUUCCACUGUCCACUUUUUAAUAAUGUUUAUUGUAUCAUAUAUUCUUUCUAUCUCUAAAGCCAUCAACAUAUAACCUCCUAAUAUUCUCAUUUUUCUGAAAACUUGCUUCAUAAUUUUUCUCCACUCCAAUCCUGUUAUGAACUCCAUCAUUUAAAUACAUGAUCCUAUUAGCACUCUGGAUCAGAGUCCCUCAACUCCUGUGAAGCCAAGGUCUUCUCAUUUUAUUUGUUACUUACCAGCAUAAAUAUAAUCCUGAUCAAAAUCAUCACAUUUAUUUUCUAAUUUUCUACAAUUUCAAAUGCUGACAUUUCCCCUCCUUGAAAAUGAGGAAUUACAAGAAGAGUAGUUCUUUUAAACUUGCUUCAUCUCUUCCACUUCCAUAACCCUAGCAAGCCUGUUUAUUUUCCUGUCUUAAUUCCAACCUCCAUUAUUAUAUUAUUAUCUAACUUGAAGCCUAAUUCUGCUUUCAUUUUCCUUUAUUGCCAGAUAAGAUGCCAGAGGCAUCCAUGUCUCCUGCUGCCCAUAGUAAUCGAGGCCCUGACACUCCAGCCACUUCUGUGACUGUACUGACAUGUAUUUAUUAUCUCUGCUGUCUGCUGUAAUCGCAUCUGCUCUCCAAGGAGAAGUUGUUGAUUUAAAACAUUUUCAAAAAUGUGCUGCCUGCAUCCACUUCAAGUUAAUGAUUUCUCCUAUAUAAAAUGGAACAAACAGUGCUUAACAUGGUAAGUUCAGAGAAUUUUAUAAUACAACACACAUUCCUCAAGAGUUCAACUCACUGUCAGAUACACAGUGAUGUUCUAUAAACAGCAGAUACUGUUAUUAUAAAUUUUCUCUUUUCAAAAUAGUCUGAAAUAUAAGUCAACGUGUAGUUUUGGAGGUGGAUAUAAACACAAAUAUCACUAUUGUUAUGUAAGUUACUUUAGAAACCUUUAAAAGAAUCUCCUUCUAAAUACUGCAAUAUAUUUUCAAAUAGCUAUAUUAUUUUGAGGUUUAAAAAACAUAUUAAAAGAGGUAUAUUUAUAUCUAAACUAAUAAUCUUAAAAUCAGUUAUCUACAAGUUACAAAUAAACCACAAAUUGAAUAUUAACAAUGUGUAAAUCGGGGAGAGAUAAUAAACCAGUACACACAGUUUGACUCUAGUUAUUAACUGGUAAGCUAUUAAUCUGUGUUUUAGACCUGAUUCUUUCAUUAGCCACAAAUUUUAGUAUCUUUAAGGCUGAAGUUCCUCAUCUGUACUGUGAUAAAAUGAUAUUAGUUUGUUGCUAAAGUUUUCCUGACUCAAAAAUUUCAAAAAUUAAUUUAUAUCCCUCUAGUCUGAAUUUAAUUUCUUAAAGUCAAGAAUGAGGACUUUUAUUUCUAUUAUACCAUUCUAAACAUAUAUUGAAAGUUUUAAA